AUAGAAGCAGAGUAAGGUGAAGAAAAGAUAGAAUUUGCGGGAGAGAAAAUAGUUGUAGGGAUGUGGGAAGCUUGGAUUAGAAAAGUGAAAAAGAGGGUAAUAAAGAGUAGGAGAGUGUUAAUGGUAAGUGGCGCAAAAAUUGAGAACAUAGAAGGGAGGGGUAACAAUUCAUACUGGGUGUGUUUUUAGAAUUUCUUUAGAUAUUUUUGUGACCUUUGUUCAUAUUUUUUAAUAAACGUUAAGGUUUUAGAUAAAAUACAUAAAUAAUAUAAAUUAGAUACUAAAAUAGCACUCUUUUAAUCUUUUUUUAACCUUUUUCAUGUAACUAAUAUAAAUAAUUCAUUUAUUAUUAUAAUUAUAUUAAACAUAAAGCCAUGCAUAGCAGGGUUGCAAUACUAGUUUAUAUGUAUUAGAGAGCAGGUUUUUUAUAAGGAGCUUCCAAAAAUAUCAAAAAUUCAAAUCCUUUUUUGGUACAAUUUUGAUUUUUUUUUAAUUUAGUAAUAUUUAUCCCUUAACUAAUGGAUAACAACUACCCCUAUAAAUCACAUUUGUAAAUCACAAACCAGGUCUGACACUUUAUUUUCACUACAAUUUUAGAUUUUUUUUAAU
rnacentral:lncRNA from 1 species